rnacentral:rRNA from 1 species
UACGUAGGGUGCAGGCGUUAAUCGGAAUUACUGGGCGUAAAGCGUGCGCAGGCGGUUUGCUAAGACAGGUGUGAAAUCCCCGGGCUUAACCUGGGAACUGCGCUUGUAACUGGCAAGCUAGAGUGUGGCAGAGGGGGGUGGAAUUCCAGGUGUAGCAGUGAAAUGCGUAGAGAUCUGGAGGAACACCGAUGGCGAAGGCAAUCCCCUGGGCCUGCACUGACGCUCAUGCACGAAAGCGUGGGGAGCAAACAGG